UACGAAGGGUGCAACCGUUGCUCGGAAUUACUGGGCGUAAAGGGCUUGUAGGUGGCCAACUAAGUCAGACGUGAAAUCCCUCGGCUUAACCGGGGAACUGCGUCUGAUACUGGAUGGCUUGAGUGUGGGAGAGGGAUGCGGAAUUCCAGGUGUAGCGGUGAAAUGCGUAGAUAUCUGGAGGAACACCGGUGGCGAAGGCGGCAUCCUGGACCAUUACUGACACUGAUAAGCGAAAGCCAGGGGAGCAAACGGG
rnacentral:rRNA from 1 species